AAAAAAUCCUGAUCAGAAAAUUUGAAAGCACUCACCGGCACUAAUAAAGCACGCAUUGGCAUAGAUGCUAGAAUUAAUCCUUCCAAUUGUUCUGCUAACUAACGGAAAUGAGAUAAAGGCUAAGCAAACCCCGGCCGAAGGCCGGCCAAAUAGAAUUUGGGAGCUUCGCUCUCAAUCCCUACUCUUCCCUUGGAUAAAUUUGGCUACAUCACUGAGUAGAUAGCAACGCGGUAACUUUUGCAUAUAUAUUUUGCUAUUGCACAACUAUACCAACAGGUGCAGAAAUAUAUGUGCAAUU